GAUUGCAAUAAUUUCUUCUCUGCAAUCGCGGCUG
rfam:Bacteroides thetaiotaomicron VPI-5482, complete genome.